GGAUGAGGAUUAAAGUUGCAAUGGUAAAUCUCAAAAACACGCCAGAUUUUAAACAAACACAUACAGGCAACACUCCUCAUCCCUAAACCACGUCCACCUGACACUGGAACGGACCCUGACAGUGUUGGUGGUAGCAGCCGUCUGUUUCUCCUUCCCUGAUAUAACUGAGCGGAGAACUUCUCACACCAGCGGUGUUCUGGUGCUAAAUACAUGAGUGUGUAACGGAUGGAGGACCCACAGAAGUGUGGCGGUUCGAUGAGACGGACAACCGAAUGGUCCAGUCGUUGGUCUCUGAUCAAGCCGUGUUAUUGACAGAGGAUUUUAGACUGAUGUGAGUAAACCACGUCCUUUUUUAAUUUUUUUAAAUCACCACAAUAUAUUUAUUACUAUAUUAGAACAUUUAAAUCAGGGUUUCUCAACCCUGGUCCUCAGCGCCCACCUGUCCUUCAUGUUUUCCACGUUGCCCUUGCAAACCCUAGUGCUUCUCUACUGCCACACACCUGACUUAACCCUUUGAUGCAUAAUGGUCACUACAGUGGCCAGGUACUCAAAACAGUUAUUUAUUUAUUUUUUUGCUAUUAAGCACAGCUGUUGAAGACUUAAUUGCAUUUGAGCCCCUCCAUUUGGACUUCAGUAGGUCAAGCCAACAUAUUUCAUGUUCAGAAUGCACGCUGUCCACUGAGGUGGACAUGUAAUAAAUUAUUUGUAAAUGAUUAAAUGUUACAUAAAAUAUUCGUUGAAAUUUGUUUCAUUCACACCUAAGAUGAAUGAAAAAAUUGUUAAAAAAAUCAUGGUUGAAGAUUUCAUAAUUCAUGCAUCAAAGGGUUAAAUUAAUGACUGAUUAACAGCCUUCUGCAGCACUUGAUGUCCUCCUGAGGAUGCUAUUCAAAUAUUUAAAUCAGGUGUGUUUGAAGAAGAGAGAUUGAAAAAAUGAAGGACGGGUGGGGGGUAAGGACCAGCGUUGAGAAAUCCUGGUUUACAGGCCUCAAAAAAUGGUUCAAGCUAGCUUGUUUUGCAGAUUAGCCAUUGUAGCUUUAAGAGUUGUUCUCAUUAAUAUUCAUAAGUAAACGUCUCACCUCUCAUUCGCUAACAGCAACACUACUCUUCUGCUGCCGAUCGUUUCCCAAUCUACUUUCUUUCUGCAGCUAAUGCAGGUGAUGGGGACCAAACCAGAACCUGCUACAACCUAUAUUACCUGUUAUUGUUAAAUGGUAAAUGGCCUGUUUCUGUUUAGCACCCUCUUAGGGUUCUACAACCCCCAAGGCGCUUCACAAAUCAAUCAGCCAUUCACCCAUUCACACACAUUCACCUGCUGGUGGGGAUGAGCUACGAUGUAGCCACAGCUGCCUUGGGGCGCACUGACAGAGGCAAGGCUGCCGAGCACUGGCGCCACCGGUCCCUCCGAAAACCACCAGCAGGCAAGGGGGGUUUAGUAUAUUACCCAAGGACACAACAGCAGAAUUCUCUGGUCAGAGCCGGGAUCGAACCUGCAACCUUCCGAUUACUGGACAACCCCGCUCUACCUCCUGAGCUACUGCUGUCCCUGCAAUUGUCAUGAGCCGGGGUGAGUGCUCCUCUCAUUUCUCACCAUCUUUGAGUGUUUGGUUUCAGGAGAGGGAGCGACAGCUGUUCCUCAUUCAGCUAAUCAGCAGGCCUGCUUAUGAGGAGGAUGGUGGACGUGACUCGACGCCAGAAGAUUACUACUGACUGGUUGGCUUCACCUCAGGACUUCACCCAACUCUGUAUGGAUCACUCCCCGGCUCGCUUCCUUGUUCACCAUCCACCCGCUUGACCGACCCGCUCUCCACCGCGCCUCGCUCCCUCUCCAACCCCACACCGGCUCGGAUACAUUCCCUCUCACCAUCUCAACCACUCUCUGUUCAUCACCUGGAUUAUUACCCCGGCUCACCCCUCCCUAGCGCUCUUCCCGAACCACGCUGCUUCCCGUUUCCUCACCCGCUGGACUUCCAGUGCGCCUUUAGUUCCUCGUUUUAAUAAAAUACUUAUUUUUUUCCUUCAAUUUGAGUCCGUCUCCUGAUUCUGCAUGUCUUGGGUUAGACAUUUGCCCCAGAACAUGACAGCAAUUGCUGUUCCUGCAAAAGCGGGAAAGUGGAGAACAGAGAUAAUUUCCCACUGAUCUUCAAAAGCUAAUGGGCUAAAUUAUUUUACAUUCACUUUGGAGUUCAUGCAAGCCACCAACCCCCAGUUCUUUUUACGUUUCACAAAUAUGGACACAGAUCGUUUCCAGACCAUUCUUAAUAGCUUGCCAAAAGAAUACUUUACAAUCCUCUCUUUUUUUUUGUGGUAAGCGUCAGUAAAACGGUGCCAUGCCUGCGAGGACUGACAAGUGUUAACAUGCUCGAUAGUUGUCAUCACUCAUUGCCUGAAGGAGUUUGCAUGGAAGUGGUAAUCAAACCAGUAAAUUAGAAAACGUCUAGCUCCUGCUUUGUGAAGUGACCAGGGUUUAACGUUUAGCCCAGAGGCCAUGAAGCAGGAUUUACGGGUUCCUGGUGGAAGUUGUGUUGUUUUAGUUUGGCAUUACGAGAUGACUGAACCUACCACUCUGGGUGUAAUUACAAAGCCAGAUUACUCUGUUUUUUAAGAGCUUAAUCCUGUUUAGACUAAUGCAUUCAUGGGUUGCAGCAGAUUUGAAGAGGAAGGCACAAUACAAACCUUUUAUUAUCAAGUGGUGCUCAUAAUCACACUGCUGCCAUCGCUGGUUGCAUUAGCAAUAAACUUGCUGCAGGUUAGACAAGUUUUAGUCUUAGCUAAGCCAUUAAAGUGUGCCUUUAGCUUUAUAAAACAGUUCAAAAAAUCUGAUUACAAAAAAAUGUUAAUUUUAAAACUCAAACAAGUUAUGCUCAUCUAGUUUUGUUGCAUAAUAAUGAACUUCCACAACCAAAAAUCAAUAUUUCAUUCAAAUGAUUAAUUGCAAAAAUUCAGUAACAAACUAGCUAAAAAAAGAGGCAAACAGUGCAGCAAAGCUCAAACACAUGUAAGCCUAUGUUCCUGCACUCUCGAUCGCCAGGUCCUCAUGAAAGCAGGGGUUACUGGGAUCUAGGUGUAUACAGCUUUUUACUGGGAGCGGGUGCUUUCAAUAUGGAGGAUAAUGUUUGUUAUAAACCAGUGCCCCUCCUGGGAUAUCUGCUUUCUCCUUUACUCAGGAAUGUACAGAAACAGAGAGCUUCUAAAGACUUCAGGGCAGAGGAUCUAACACAGAGGAGCGGGGUAGAGGUUCACACACAUUCACAUGCAUGCACAACAAGCAACGAGCGUGUCUGAGUUCUGUCUCAAAGCUUUAAACACUACCACAUGCCAGGACUCCAGCGGCAAGAGAGGCACACGUGUUUUUGUGUGAGUGUGUGUGUGCAUGCAUGCUAGUGAAGCUAUGACAGUUGCACAGUGUGCAUCUGAGAGUGAGAAAAAAGUGGAAUUGGAUCAAGAGUUGACUGUUUUAUUAAGCAUUCUUGAUGGUUCGGGCCGAUUAUAAAAGCGUUUAGGUCGUAUUUGGCAGAAAAGUCUGCUCUCCUGCUCGAAGUCAAUAAAGGAACCCGGCCAAGAAGUAGAAGUGCUGUGCAGCUCAGUCACUCACACACUCAAUACGAUGCCUAUUAUUACAAACGCACAAUAGUUCUGUGGGAGGAAUUAUGUAAGAAGAAUGCCUGGCCAGUCUUAAAAUGUGUUUUCCAGAA